rnacentral:rRNA from 1 species
UACGUAGGGUGCAAGCGUUGUCCGGAAUUAUUGGGCGUAAAGAGCUUGUAGGCGGUUUGUCGCGUCUGCUGUGAAAUUUCGGGGCUCAACCCCGAACUUGCAGUGGGUACGGGCAGACUAGAGUGUGGUAGGGGAGACUGGAAUUCCUGGUGUAGCGGUGAAAUGCGUAGAUAUCUGGAGGAAUACCGGUGGCGAAGGCGGCAUCCUGGACCGACAUUGACGCUGAACGGCGAAAGCUAGGGGAGCAAACGGG